rnacentral:rRNA from 1 species
UACGGGGGGAGCAAGCGUUGUUCGGAUUUACUGGGCGUAAAGGGCGCGUAGGCGGCGCAACAAGUCACUUGUGAAAUCUCCGGGCUUAACCCGGAGCGGCCAAGUGAUACUGUCGUGCUAGAGUGCGGAAGGGGCUACUGGAAUUCUCGGUGUAGCGGUGAAAUGCGUAGAUAUCUGGAGGAAUACCGGUGGCGAAGGCGGCAUCCUGGACCAUUACUGACGCUGAGGCGCGAAAGCUAGGGGAGCAAACGGG